rnacentral:rRNA from 1 species
UACGAAGGGUGCGAGCGUUGUUCGGAAUUAUUGGGCGUAAAGGGUUUGUAGGCAGAAAUGUAAGUCAAGUGUGAAACCCCCGAGCUUAACUUGGGACGUGCAUUUGAAACUGUGUUUCUUGAGUAUCGUAGAGGGUGGUGGAAUUGUAGGUGUAGGAGUGACAUCCGUAGAGAUCUGCAGGAACAUCAGAGGCGAAAGCGACCACCUGGCCGAUAACUGACGCUGAGGAACGAAAGCGUGGGGAGCAAACAGG